GCACUGACUUCUCAUCCUAUCCCUGCUGCUAAGUGUAGGGCAAGGUCACUCAGUGCUAAAGCAAUGCAGAGGAAAUCCAGAUGGAGCAUGUUUUACUUUGUGUUCUGUCUCUACACCUCAGCCAUACUC
ensembl:snoRNA